GGGGAUAAAAAUAAGGGCGUACGGUGGAUGCCUUGGCACUAAAUGGCGAUGAAGGACGUGGCGUGGCUGCGAAAAGCUUCGGGGAGGUGCUUAGCAACCUUUGAUCCGGAGAUGUCCGAAUGGGGUAACCCAAUCGCGUAAACCGCGAUUACCUAUCCGUAAGGAUGGGUGCGUAUCUGCUGAAGUGAAACAUCUCAGUAAGCAGAAGAAAAGAAAAUAACAAUGAUUCCCUAAGUAGCGGCGAGCGAAACGGGAAGACUCAUAAGAGUCAAGCCUAAACCCAAUGAAAUAAUUUUAGCGGUGGGGUGUCGUGAGUUAGCUUUAAAACUAGCUCACAGCUUCAUUUAGCUAUUAUUAAAUUAUCGGGGGUCGUAAGAUAGAAAUUUUUUAAUUCUAAAAUUGUUUUGUCGAUAGUGGCAAAAUGAUUUUAGAGUUAAAGGAAAGUCAAAAAAUUGCAUGCCCUGUAUUUCACAAAUAUCACCAAUGUAGCGAAUCUAAUUUUGAGAAAGAUUCGCGACGCGAGGAGCGCAGUGUGCCGGUAGGCACAUGAGCGACAAGCAACAAAGAAGCUUGCCAAAAUUAGUUCGCCCGAACGGGAAGCUAAAUAAUGGCCGAUUUCUUCGUUGCUCCUCCGAAACGUAGCUAAAGCUACAAUUUCGUCGUCGCGUCUCGAACUCGUCUCAUUAUUUAGCUUCUACAUUUGGCGAGAUUUGUGAAAUACAGGGCUUGGUUAGCUGAAGCCGCUGGAAAGCGGCGCUACAGAGGGUGAUAGCCCCGUAAGCGAAAACCGGCAAUCUUUCUUUUUCUACCAAAUUAAAUUUUGGAGGACCGUACACAGGAAAUAAUGUUUUCUGUGUAUGGUUCUAUCUUGAGUAUUUCGAGGCUAUUAAACCUUGAAUGAAGCAACGAGUACUAUACUCGUGAGGCUAAAUACAUUUAGUGACCGAUAGUGAACUAGUACCGUGAGGGAAAGGUGAAAAGCAGCCCGAUAAGGGCGGUGAAAUAGUACCUGAAACCGUAUGCCUACAAGGACUCGAAGCCUAAAACAUUCCGCAGCAAUGCGGAGUGAAUGGGUAACGGGGUGCCUAUUGAAGAAUGAGCCAACGACUUUACAUAAGCGGCUUGGUUAAUCCGUUAACGGAGUAGCCAUAGGGAAACCGAGUGUUAAUAGCGCGUGCCCGCAAGGGCCGGUCGUUUAUGUAAGACCCGAAUCCAAGCGAGCUUGUCCUGAUCAGGUUGAACUCUGGGUAAAACCAGAGGGAGGACCGAACUGGUGGGUUGUGCAAAACCCUCGGAUGAAUUGGGAUAAGAAGUGAAAAGCUAAUCGAGCUUGGUAAUAGCUGGUUCUCUCCGAAACAGUUUUCGGACUGGCGGCUGCAUAUUUAUUUUUAGGGGUAGAGCUACUGGUUCGGGGGUACAGGACGAAAGUCCGACUUCCGAGUCAAACUCCGAAUACUAAAAAUAACGCAGCUAGUUAGACUACGGGGGCAAAGCUCCGUGGUCGCAAGGGAAAAAGCCCAGAUCGUCAGCUAAGGUCCCUAAAUUCUUACUAAGUGUAAAAGGUAGUAGUAAACCAUUGACAGAUAGGAGGUUGGCUUAGAGGCAGCCAUCCUUUAAAGAGUGCGUAACAGCUCACUAUUCAAGGAGCGAAAGCUCUUGGUUUGCUGCGCCAAAAAUGUACCGGGGCUAAGUAAGAUACCGAAGAUACGGAUGUCCGCCGCAAGGCGGGCGUGGUAGGAGAGCGUUCGUAUUUGCAGUGAAGGAGGACUCGCGAGAGCCUCUGGAGUAAUACGAAGUGCAAAUGUUGGUAUGAGUAACCACAAUGCGCGUGAGAAACGCGCACCCCGAAAAUCCAAGGUUUCCGUGGCAAUGGCAAUCAACCACGGGUUAGGCGAUCCUAAGGCAAUGGCGAAAGCCGCAGCUGAUGGGUAGCCGGUUAAUAUUCCGGCCCGCCUGAUUUAUUCGAUGGAGUGACGAAAGAAAUAAAAUUUAGCGCCUUAAUAGUUUGGCGUCAUUUACGUAAAGCAAAGUUUUGUUGGCAAAUCCGCAAAACUGCCUUUAAUGGCGAUUUGCGCGCGUUGAUGUAAGGUCGCGUUUUUACGCGACUAAUUAAAUUGAAGAGCUUUCCAAGAAAAACUUCUAAGGUUCGUAAAUCAGGCAUCGUACCGUAAACCGACACAGGUGGAUAGGGCGAGUAGCCCAAGGGGAACGAGUGAUUCUUCGUUAAGGAACUCGGCAAACAAGCGGCCGUAAGUUCGCAAUAAGGCCUGCCCUUCGCAAGAAGNNNNNNNNNNNNNNNNNNNNNNNNNNNNNNNNNNNNNNNNNNNNNNNNNNNNNNNNNNNNNNNNAGGAUGUAUAGGGGCUGACGCCUGACCAGUGCCGAAAGGUUAAGAAACGCCGGUGCAUUGUGAUUUAUCAUGGUGUGCUGGAGUUCGAAGCCCCGGUAAACGUCAGCGAUAACUAUAAACAACAUUGUAGUUACAAAACUUGGCUAUAUGCUGGGAUCUCCCACGUAUCCUGUAUUGGCAACGAUACCGGUGGGGACAAUCAGCAGGGAAGUCACGGUUUCGUGAAGGCGCGCAUAGUGUGCGUUGCACGUGUUGUGACCCC
rfam:Candidatus Harrisonbacteria bacterium RIFCSPLOWO2_02_FTLL_45_10c rifcsplowo2_02_scaffold_23951, whole genome shotgun sequence.